CCUACGGGAGGCAGCAGUGAGGAAUAUUGGUCAAUGGGCGAGAGCCUGAACCAGCCAAGUAGCGUGAAGGAUGACUGCCCUAUGGGUUGUAAACUUCUUUUAUAUGGGAAUAAAAUGUUCCACGUGUGGGAUUUUGUAUGUACCAUAUGAAUAAGGAUCGGCUAACUCCGUGCCAGCAGCCGCGGUAAUACGGAGGAUCCGAGCGUUAUCCGGAUUUAUUGGGUUUAAAGGGAGCGUAGGUGGAUUGUUAAGUGAGUUGUGAAAGUUUGGGGCUCAACCGUAAAAUUGCAGUUGAAACUGGCAGUCUUGAGUACAGUAGAGGUGGGCGGAAUUCGUGGUGUAGCGGUGAAAUGCUUAGAUAUCACGAAGAACUCCGAUUGCGAAGGCAGCUCACUGGACUGUAACUGACACUGAGGCUCGAAAGUGUGGGUAUCAAACAGGAUUAGAUACCCCUGUAGUC
rnacentral:rRNA from 1 species